rnacentral:rRNA from 1 species
AGUGAACGCUGGCGGUAGGCCUAACACAUGCAAGUCGAACGGCAGCACAGUAAGAGCUUGCUCUUACGGGUGGCGAGUGGCGGACGGGUGCUGGAUACAUCGGAGUCUGCUGUUUCGUGGGGGCUAACGUAGGGAAAAAUACGCUAAUAGCGCAUACGACGUACGUGUGAAAGCAUCGGAUCUUCCGCUCUCACGUGAUCGUAGGUGCCGAGGUCGGAUUAGCUAGUUGGCGGGGUAAAGGCCCACCAAGGCGACGAUCCGUAGCUGGUCUGAGAGGAUGAUCAGCCACACUGGAACUGAGACACGGUCCAGACUCCUACGGGAGGCAGCAGUGGGGAAUAUUGGACAAUGGGCGAAAGCCUGAUCCAGCCAUGCCGCGUGGGUGAAGAAGGCCUUCGGGUUGUAAAGCCCUUUUGUUGGGAAAGAAAAGCAGCAGGUUAAUACCCCGCUGUUCUGACGUUACCCAAAGAAUAAGCACCGGCUAACUUCGUG